rnacentral:rRNA from 1 species
UGGGGAAUAUUGGACAAUGGACCAAAAGUCUGAUCCAGCAAUUCUGUGUGCACGAUGAAGUUUUUCGGAAUGUAAAGUGCUUUCAGUUGGGAAGAAGUCAGUGACGGUACCAACAGAAAAAGCGACGGCUAAAUACGUGCCAGCAGCCGCGGUAAUACGUAUGUCGCAAGCGUUAUCCGGAUUUAUUGGGCGUAAAGCGCGUCUAGGCGGCUUAGUAAGUCUGAUGUGAAAAUGCGGGGCUCAACCCCGUAUUGCGUUGGAAACUGCUAAACUAGAGUACUGGAGAGGUAGGCGGAACUACAAGUGUAGAGGUGAAAUUCGUAGAUAUUUGUAGGAAUGCCGAUGGGGAAGCCAGCCUACUGGACAGAUACUGACGCUAAAGCGCGAAAGCGUGGGUAGCAAACAGG